rfam:Gossypium raimondii chromosome 13, whole genome shotgun sequence.
AGUCUGUGGUGUGGACAUUCUUGAAUCAACGUUUUAAAGCACUCCCAAGCUUCAUAGAAACUUUCUCCUUCUAAUUGCUUAAACGUAGAAAUCUCUCUCCUUAGUUG